ensembl:lncRNA
CUCACAUGGUCAUAAGUCGAUGCUCUUAUUUACAUGCACCUUCAGCAAAUCGAUACUUCCCAAAAUCUGGGCAGCAGCAGCAGCAGCAGCAGCACAGGGAUGUGCUGAAGGUGCCUCUUGGCUGUGGAUGUAUUUAGCUAUCCCCAAGGCUGCUCCUCAGGGAGGCACGGGAGGGAGGUGAUCCUCCCUAACACCCAAGCUCUGUGCUUCAGAGCGCGCUUGCUGAUGAAACCGUCCUGCUCUGCAGACAGUCCAGGGAUCUGCAGAUUGUGCAUUCUCUACACAGCAAACUGCUCCAGUCUGCAAGGAUUUCCUUCGGGAGGGAAAAUCAGUGGCACAGACUCUGGGAGAAGAGUGCAACAGCCAAAGUCUAUUUUAACAAGGGAGAACUGUUUCCAAGAGAGAAAAGAGCUAGGUUUCUUCCAGCUAUUGUCCGCAGCAUUGCAUACCAGCCAAUACUGUUUUUUUCCUUCUGACGAAAUGCAGACCACCUUCCUGCGUUAGAAGAUUUUGGUGACUUUAAUUACCCAGUUGUGUGUGUUUGAGGCAGAGAGAGAGAGAAUCCUGAAUGCAGAACAGAUAUUACUCUGCACUGUCAAGUCCAGCACUGGUCACCAAAGUGCAGUGAGGGGCUCUUCCCCUGCUCAUGAGUGCACACUUGCACCUUUCCACCACCGUGUCGGAGCCCAGCAGCGUCACUCAUGAUUUGAUGCAGAAAUAUUGCCUGUGCGUGGGUCAGCAGCAGCCAAGUUUUCAUCUCUCUAGAGGCUGAGCUUGCCAUUUUCCUGACCAAAAGUCAGCACAAAAUGCAUACUCUGAAGGCCAUUUCUACACGCCAGAAGGACUUCAAUCUCCAUAUGGGGUGGCACAACAUGGCUGGCAGGCAACAGAACCUGCCUUGAGGUUGCUCACUGAUGUGGUGCUAUGUUUCCACAGUGUAACUUGAAGUAAUUUAAUGUUUGUUGAGUCAUGGAUGCUCCUUUUUUCCAGAAAACAUCAGGGGUCAGAGGAAAAGGGCCAUCAUCUGUUGCCUUUGUUGUUAUAUGCUGGUUGCACUGGAAGCAGCAGCAGCAGCAUCGUGCCCAGGAUCCACCACAGCGCCACAUGUGAGGCUGCACCGCUACACAACUGUGGCUGUUCCUCCUGCCACGUGACACUUGGGCUCUGCUUUUCUCAUACACAGCAUUAUGACAUCUUUUUAUCUUCCAGAUUAUUAUAAGCCUUUAUUUGGCUGCUGCAAACCAAGGUCUUAAUCAAGCUCAAGGCUAUAUUAUGCUGGAAAUCCUCCGAGGGAACAGAGGUGAUGCCAAGCUGUGGGCUCCUGGGCAGGGCCAAGUCUCUGACUCAGCAGCUGUGUGGCAUUGUUUAUUUUAAGCUAACUGUGUAUGUGUACAUGUAGAGGCAGAGCAUGUGCAUGACAGAGACCUGGGAGAGUCAGCGGCCCUGUACUGAGCACAGGUGCUGUGGCUGCUCUUGCUGGAGUAGCCAAGGUGUGCCUGUGCUUUUGGCAUUUCAGUGUUUCAACAAAGUGGAAACAUGUUUUUCCUAACAUACCAAAAUCUUGCUUUACCCUCUCUCCAUCCCAUGCUGGGGUGUUGAUUCUAGAUCCCUGACAAAGCAGUGGCAGUCAUGAGCCUCCGAGAAAGGCUGACCCCAAAUCCAGCCUUUGGGAAAGGAGCCAUCUGCUAGUGCCCCCAUCAGAUCUUGUGCUUUGAAGGACACAGAAGAAACUUGUGUCUGGGAGUGAGCCCCACAGUGACAUGCUGUGCUCCUACUCCCCAAACCCUGUGCGGAGUUGGUUUCUCCCAGCUGUUUGUGCUUUCCCAGUCUUCUGCUGCUGCUGCUGCAAAACCAAGCUAUCCAGCCCUGAAGGCCACUUAGCUGUUGCCUGUAUUUGCUCCAUAUAAACACAGCAACACACCUGCCACAUUUCUUAGGGGACACAAGGCUUCCUCCAACAGAAGAAUUGCAUCAGGCUUUUUUUGCCAAUGAAUGAGAGUAACCUCUGGGGAGCCCAGAACCCCCCAAAUCUCUGGCAGAUCCAGCACUGAAGGGGGCCAGAGGAGACCAUGCCCGUGUUUAAGUGUCUGUGCUUUCCCACCAAGGACAAUCCCACUAAAGCAGGAUCUUGGGGCACCCUAGGCACCAGGCAAUUAUACUCCAGGUAUCAUCAAGCCCCAUAUUGUAGGUCAAUCCCUGGACUCUCCGACCACAUCUAACAAGUUUUUGUUCUUCAGUUGAAAGCAAAUGAGAUGGAGGAGAGUGGGAGGCAAUGGUUGUGCUGCCUGCCUGCACUAAUACUUAAGGUGCUCAAGGAACGUCACUGCUCCUUGAGUUUGAACAUGUUUCCACCUAAGUCUUUCUGGAGGUUUAUUUCUUCUCUGCUGUCCUACUGCUAACUCCUUUUUUCUUCUCCCAGAUGAACUUCCCCGAGCUUUUGCCUUCUAUCCUCUGGAUUCACUGCUCUGUAGGAGCUGAUAGAGCUGAUAUCCCAAGGAUAUGAGCUUACUUUAGAUCUACUGCUGUCUCUAAAGAAAACACCGCAUAUGGUAUCCACAAAAGCACACGGUCUCCUUUAAUAAAUUGGUCCAUUCCACAUAUAGUUAAUACCCCCUUGUAUUUAUACUGCUUGUAUAUUUUCCUUCUGUGUCCCUCAAAUACAAGCCUUUCCCUCUUGCUGUAAUAGAACAUUUGCCAAGAAGAAAAUUAACCUUUCUCACUGAGCAGUUGAAGUUGUACAGCUCUUCCAGACCACACAUUCAGCUGAAUCCCUGUAUGGGCCAUUCAUUUAAGAGUUGGACUCCAUGAUCUACAUGGGUCCCUUCCAAUCAGAAUACUCUGUAACUUCUGUAACUCGCGCUGAAAAAGGACAAUGAGCUGGGGUUUAUGACUAUUUUCUUUAUAAUGCACAAAUCCAUGAGGCAGGUUUCAACUUGAGAUGUAUGGCUUCCAAAAUACAGGAAAAGAUGAACAAACACUGUGUUGGCUUUGGUCAGCAUUGACACACACACCCCAGAGCCAAGACAUGCCACAUUUCCUUGUCCCUCCUUCCACUUUCCUCUUGCAGCUACUGAUGGCAUAUCGGCAUCUUGUCAUUAUGCAGGGAUUUAAUCUCAGCUGGCUAUUUUAUAAACCUUGCUUUGUCCCAUCUCUAAAAUUAACAUCUAGCAUUAGCAUUUUUGAACACGACUUUAAAGCCUUAGAGCAAAUAUAAGCUGAGAUAGACCUAUGCAAAAUAGGAAUUUCCUUGGCAUGAUGACAAGCCUCCUGAAAUGGCAGGCAUGAAGGCUGUCUCUCUUCAUGGGGUACAGUGCAUGCUUUGGAACUGUUUGAUAGUUUUAAAAUAUUUCUGAUGCAAUGGGUCAUAAUGCUUUCCAGAUGAGUACAUGGAGUGCAAAAGGUAAUGGCACAGACACUUCACUGUUCUACCUCUUGUCCCCUUUCUGGCAAUAUAAGAAGAAUCCAUCUCAUCUUAUCUCUAGUUUGCUGGUAAACAUGAGUUAUUUGCUUCUCCCCUUUCACUAAACUGAAAAUGUUAAAUGCACCACAAACAAAACUUACGAACUUUUUUUAUGUGAUUAAAAUGGUCAUAACUAUCUGAUGUUUCUUGCUGAUUGAAUCUGCCACUUCCAUUUACUAGGAAAAUAAAUAACACAUGUUUGCUGUCUUUCUAAAAGGUUCUAUUUAUUCUGUGGUCAUUUCCCACUUAUGAUAUUUCCAGCUUAAUUUCAUAAAACAGCUUUUACAUGGCUAAAAAAAAAGGCUCUUAUUGUACAUUGUCUUCAAAAUAUUUUGCCUUUAAGCUGUGGGCUUUUAUUUGUAGGAACAACCAACCACCCUGUUUG